GCGACGGAAACAAAAAGAAAACGUGACGGCUAAAUCCUAAGGAGAAAAAAGAGUUUCUCAAGGUUUUGAGAUUUGAUCUCAACAGCACUAGCACCCCGUAUCGAUCCAGUUCGUGCGUGUGUGGAUAUCGAGAGAGGCACAACGUUUGAAGUGCUUGAAAUCUCGGCUUGGUUUAUUCAUCUUUCCGCUGCGAAUAAGCAGAAUUUGUCACGUAAGAGAUCGAAACAGGAAUACCAGUGGAGUCCGAAGCUUGUGUGACCGGAGUACUUUUACCGCGGCGGAAACGGAGAAGGCCCUGACAAGUAAAGGCUUACGUCAGUGAACAUGGCGGGAAGACAGAUUUGGGGCUCGGAGAGUGUUGAGGAAGAGGAAAAAAGGUGAAUGUGGAGAAGGUCAGAGGAACCUUGGAGAAACUCAAAGUGUGGAAGCUGAAAUAUUUCUGGCUUCAAGGUUGUAUCCUUUGAUAAGUGCAUGUGUAUGUAGGAAUUGGUUCAUGUUCAGGGAACUUAAGACAUUCGUUGAUUUAUUUGGGUCCAUGUUUCCAAGGAGAAUGUUGGUUAUUAGUUAUUGCUAAACCUAUUGCACUACACUAAUAAUUUAAACCUUU